CCUCGUCGACAAGUUGGGGACACACGAAGUGGACGUGGGUGUCCACACCCCCCGCGGUGAGGAUCUUGCCGUUCCCGGCGAUGAUCUCGGUCUCGGGCCCGAUGACGAGAGCGGGGUCCACGCCGUCCAUGAUGUCCGGAUUUCCCGCCUUGCCCAGUGCGGUGACGCGGCCGUCGCGGAUACCGACGUCCGCCUUGACCACGCCCCAGUGGUCCAGGACGAGAGCGCCGGUCACGACGGUGUCGGGCGCGCCUUCCGCGCGGGUCGUGCGGGCCUGGCCCAUGGACUCGCGGAUG
rnacentral:sRNA from 1 species